CGAGACCUCAGGUCAGACGGGGCUACCCGCUGAGUUUAAGCAUAUCAAUAAGCGGAGGAAAGAACUAACAGGAUUCCCUAGUACG
rnacentral:rRNA from 1 species